GACGAACGCUGGCGGCGUGCCUAAUACAUGCAAGUCGAACGAAGCUUUUUUAACUGGUGCUUGCACCGACUUAAACAACUGAGUGGCGAACGGGUGAGUAACACGUGGGUAACCUGCCCCAAAGCGGGGGAUAACAUUUGGAAACAGAUGCUAAUACCGCAUAACCACAGAAACCACAUGGUUUCUGUGUCAAAGAUGGUUUCGGCUAUCACUUUGGGAUGGACCCGCGGCGUAUUAGCUAGUUGGUAAGGUAAUGGCUUACCAAGGCAAUGAUACGUAGCCGAACUGAGAGGUUGAUCGGCCACAUUGGGACUGAGACACGGCCCAAACUCCUACGGGAGGCAGCAGUAGGGAAUCUUCCACAAUGGGCGAAAGUCUGAUGGAGCAACGCCGCGUGAGUGAAGAAGGUUUUCGGAUCGUAAAACUCUGUUGUCAGAGAAGGACGUGUGCGAGAGUAACUGUUCGUGCAGUGACGGUAUCUGGCCAGAAAGCCACGGCUAACUACGUGCCAGCCGCCGCCGUAA
rnacentral:rRNA from 1 species